rnacentral:sRNA from 1 species
UUCUUGCUCAACUCAAACGGGAUAGUUCUGGUGGAGAAGGUUCAACCUUAAUUAUGCAGUAUUGCUUCAGAAAUCAGAGACUAUAGUCUUCACAUUGUUUGCUUGUUCAUCAUUGUAAGCAAUUGUUUUACACGGCAUCAGCGCCUCCAAGCAUGUGGCCACCAUCAACAGCCAUAGCGUCUGCAUAGUUUGCUUGAUGCUGGCUCCCAGCAUAUGGUGCAUUCCUUCGCACACGAUUGUGCUCAUCUGAUUUCAACAAAACAGGAAAAGGCUUGUCACAUAUACAUGGCAGAAUGUUCAUUUGUAAUGUUGAUAUCUCAGUUAUCAAGACAUUUUUUGCCCUACUAAUGCUUAUUGCACAUGUACGGGAUACCAUAAUUUGUAACCAUUUGGCCAUAGAUGUAAAAUGCGGACUGC